rnacentral:misc_RNA from 1 species
CCCCGGAAGACGCCGCCCGGCCCGAGCGUGUCCCCGACCGGCUGGUCGAUGCCGUACUCCCGCGGGAUCUCGACAUCGUGGCGGUAGGCGUCCAGGCCUCCGACCUGGAAGGUGCAGAUCGCAACGUCCGUGCCGUCGAGGGCAGCCCGCCGGUCGUCGGUGGCCCAGCCGCGGGCCGGGAGGUGGUGGGCCUCGAUGAGGUCGUUCAGGCCCUUGAGCGUCCGCUCGGCCCCCGCCCUGUCGAUGUCGAACAGGCAGAACUCGGCGUCCCGCAGCGCCUCGAACGCCAGGAUGUCCCU